GCCACCCAACCGGUAUGGUGGAUAUGACCCUCGGCUUGGAACCGAGUGUGCUCGGGUUCGAAUCCCGAUUAAGGCU